CAGCAAUUAUUAUUUGUUUAAAAAUAAAUUAAUUCCAGAUAAUAUAUCAAUUUCUAUAAAUUAAAGAAAAAUAGAAAAAUGGCAAUAAUUUUUUUAAAAAUAGUUGGAUAUUAAUGAAAUUAAUAUAUAUUGCAUAGAAUGCAACACUAAAUAAGAAUAAAGUAUACAAAUUAUUUCUUCAUUCCUCGAUAUAUACAAGUCAGCUGCAUCAUUAAAGUUGUCAUGUAAAGAAUGCUCAUUAAUUUGAGUUUGAGGUGUGAAAGAAGAAAAUUCAGAUAAUAGAAUUUUAGAAAUAUGAUUAUUAUUAUUUUAACUGAUGGAUUGAGAUGGCAAGCAAUUGGGAAGCUAAAAGUAGGUCAAAGUCAAGCAAAGGUGGCCAGAUUGCUAAAUGUUAGUUGUAUCACAGUCCAAGUUAUUAGCGCGGGGGGCAGUGGAAGGCAUGAACUUUUAUUGAACGAAGGCGUUUUCAGUGCGAGUCGUGCCAUCUUCAGUCUUGUGGUCGAAC
rnacentral:lncRNA from 1 species